GCAGAUUACAAUGAAAUCCGAGACUGGUAAUCACUCUGACAGCCUUCUGUAGACUAACUAGUCUCAGCCAGUCCACCUGAGACACCUGGGUCAGCAGUUGUACACUUCCAAAUAGCUCUGGUUGAUUGGUGGCGUAUUUGUUAUGAAUGCAGGAAACCGCUGCUACUUGUACUUAACAAAUGCUAUAACCAGAGCCACCUCACCACGUCAGCCUCCUUACCACAGGCCAAACUGACCAAGGGCCGAACCCUCUGAAACUGUGAGCCAAAAUAAAACGUUCUUCCUCACAAA
rnacentral:lncRNA from 1 species